CCCGCUAUAAGCAGUGCCUAAUUUCUCAACUCGCAGAUUUUCCUCCUUGUUUCUUGAUUACCGGCAUUUUUUUUUACGAUGCCCUACAAUAUUUCCUCCCCUUAAGUGGUACCUAAUUUUUCUACUCGCAACUCACAGACUUUCCUCCUUGUUCUUUGAUCGCCGGUAUUUUUUUACGGUGCUGUUUUCGAACUGCUUAGGUGGACAGUGAGCUGGGCUGACGGUUGGGUGCUCACCCCGACCCGGGCUUCGAACUGUCAGUAGAGAUCUAUUGCUGUGGGUGAUUAGCCAGCUGUGCUAAAGCUCGGAGUCGAAGUCCAAAACAUCUGGAGGGCCGAAGUUUGCAGAUACCUGGCUUAGGUGGACAGUGAGCUGGCCGACGGUCGGGUGCUCACCCCGACCCAGGCUUCGAACUGUCAGUAGAGAUCCAUUGCUGCAGGUGAUUAGCCAGCUGUGCUAAAGCUCGAAGUCCAAAACACCUGGAAGGCCGAAGUUUGCCCAUACCUGGCUUAGGUGGACAGCGAGCUGGGCUGACGGUCGGGUGCUCACCCCGACCCGGGCUUCGAACUGUCAGUAGAGAUCUGUUGCUGCGGAUGAUUAGAGCCAGCUGUGCUAAAGCUCGGAGUCGAAGUCCAAAACACCUGGAAGGCCAAAGUUUGCCCAUACCUGGCUUAGGUGGACAGCGAGCUGGGCUGACGGUUGGGUGCUCACCCUGACCCGGGCUUCGAACUGUCAACCUUUUCGUUGGUAGAGAUCUAUGAUUAGAGCCAGUUGUGCUAAAGCUCCGAGUCGAAGUCCAAAACACCUGGAGAGCCUGGCUUAGAACAUAGGUGCGCCCGGCCACGCAAGAAGGUGUUCCGUGUCCUACGGUUUCAGAGUCCGUGCAUUGCCGUGUGACGGGCGCUUAGGACACGCCGUCGUAUUGGAAAGCGGCAUCCGAUGGAAAAGCUGGUUGAACGAAACGAGAAGACGGCUCGGAGCUGCCGGUGACAGUGACGGGUAGCAACGUAUGUGGCAGGAGCCGGACUAUUGCUUAGAUCCGUUGAAGACUUCUUCAGCUAUGUUGACCGCGAGUGUUUGAAAUCCGGGCGGUCAUUUGGAAGGAAUAAGACGGGCCCGACUCUCCAUUCCUCGCUGCCUUGCCUUCCCGGAGGCUCCUCGACGCAAGAAGUGCCUUUCUUUCCUCGCUCUCCAGCCCUUAGGUACUGACAAUACGUGUCGGACUGCAAAGCCCAGCGUCCUUGGCCUCGGCCUGCCUUUGCUCAGGACGGUGGGCUUUGCAGUCGGCGGGGCUCCUGCCGUCGGGAACCGUGCUUCCCUUUGCGACUGCAACUCCCACAAUCCCCUCCCUGGGAAUGAUGGGAGUUGUAGUGCUCGGCAUCGGGUUAUCGAACUGGAAAACUGACAUUUUUAUCUUUGCACUGACGGGGGUCUGGAUUUGGGGGGUGGGAUUUAUUCCAGAGCCCUGGUUUUACUUCGUUCCCACUUUGUUUAUAAAUUAAACCCUCCAGCUGUUUCCCGAGCCUGGAUCGAGCGUCUCCUUUAUUUAUUUGUUUAUUAUUUAUUUAUUUACUACAGGGUGGCUUACAAUCAAAUGUACAUACAAUAUAAGCAAUUAAAUUACUAUAUUGUACUAUAUAAUUUUAUGGUAAUAUUAUUAGUAAUACAGUAGAGUCUCACUUAUCCAAGCCUCGCUUAUCCAAGCUUCUGGAUUAUCCAAGCCAUUUUUGUAGUCAAUGUUUUCAAUCUAUUGUGAUAUUUUGGUGCUAAAUUCGUAAAUACAGUAAUUACAACAUAACAUUACUGCGCAUUGAAGUACUUUUUCUGUCAAAUUUGUUGUCUAACAUGAUGUUUUGGUGCUUCAUUUGCAAAAUCAUAACCUAAUUUGAUGUUUAAUAGGCUUUUCCUUAAUCCCUCCUUAUUAUCCAAGAUAUUCGCUUAUCCAAGCUUCUGCCAGCCCGUUUAGCUUGGAUAAGUGAGACUCUACUGUAUUACUUUUAAUAUAUAAUAUAUAAUUAAUUUUAUAUAUUAAUUUUAAUUAAUUAAUUUUUUCCCAGAUUCGAAUCAACACAGCUCAACAGCUCAGUCCGACACGACAUGUUUAUUUUAUACAGAAUUUCCGAGGUUACACAGUUUGGUUCGGUACAAAAUAAUAAUAUGUACAGUUCAUAAUAUACGUUUGACUCCUUGACAUGGAAGUAUCUCCAAGCCGUUGUAAGGUCCAUCUUGCAAAAGUGGUAUUAUGAAAAAAAAUUCCCCAUUGGGCUGCUGGGAAUGUGGCCGUGCCCCAGCAGCACUCCCUCCUGACGUUUCGCCUGCAUCUGUGCCUAACGGCAUCUGCAGAGGUUCGGUUGACAGAACGGCUGCAAAGCCAAUCGGCGAGGGUAUCGGCAUAGAGAUUAAACAGCCCCAGAACCAAGGAAGUAAAUAAAGAAAACUCCAGAUGGUAAACAACCAAGUGCCAGUUCACACUUCCCAAACAGAGGGUGCCUCCAGGCAACAACUGCCAGGCCACAUCUAUGCCGAUACCCUCACUGAUUGACUUUGCAGCUACGAAAGUUUGCCUAUUAGACUCAGAGAGGACUGGAACCCCAGCCCACUGGAUUUAAUCUCCUGUAUACACCAGUACAAAUAUAUAUUCUAUAUGCAUCACUAUUUAUAUAUAAGUACAGUAAUAGGUACGUCAGAACAGAACGCCGUGCUCGUCUCGGCCACGAUGUGGUUAGAGCCGUGAAGAGCGAGCGGCGUUCGAACCCAUGCCCUGAAAACACACGCGGGGCCGGAAUCGGCCCAGGAAUAGCAGCAAACGGGGUGCGAUUUGUAGUGGUUUUGGGGUGGAGGCUAAAGGCCCGAGGCUGCUAGGAAUGCUGGGAGUUGGAGUCCAAAACGCUUGGAAGGAAGACCCAAGUUGGCCCACACGUGGUAUAUGUGCAACUAUGACACGAUGCAAAGGCUGGAAGGCAAUGGUUGGGAGUGAAAAGGGGGUGCGACCAUUAUGUGAUGAAAUACGGUACGAGGCACAUUGUCACGCGUGUCUGGACGGUUUGCCUGAAUCCCACCCUGUGACCAGGCCAAAGGUCAUUAUCAACAAUAUAUCAUCACACUUUGAUUCUCCUAAUCUCAAUUUUAGGGAGGCGCAAAAAAAAAAAAGUGCAACCAUUACGAGAAGAAAAAAUGUAUCUUUGAUUCUCCUAAUCUCAAUUUUGUGGUGGGGAGAGGAGUGACAAAAAAGGUGCGACCAUUACGAGAAGAAAAAUGUGCCUUUGAUUCUCCUAAUCUCAAUUUUAGGGAGGUGCAAAAAAAAAAGGUGCGACCAUUACGAGAAGAAAAAUGUGCCUUUGAUUCUCCUAAUCUCAGUUUUGUGGUGGGGAGAGGAGUGACAAAAAAGGUGCGACCAUUACGAGAAGAAAAAUGUGCCUUUGAUUCUCCUAAUCUCAAUUUUGUGGUGGGGAGAGGAGUGACAAAAAAGGUGCGACCAUUACGAGAAGAAAAAAAUGUGCCUUUGA